UUUAAACAGCAGUUCCCGUAAAAUCAGCGAAGUUAAGCAACGUCGAGCCUGGUUAGUACCGAGAUAGGUGACCGCAUGGGAAUACCAGGUGCUGCAAG